UAAGUAAUACCCAUCGAAUAAUUCGACUUUCUUUAUUUAUUACAAAUAAUAUGCAAUUUUUUUGAAUGAAGAAAAUUUAUUCGAACGAAUAAACGUUUAUUUGUAAUGAUUAUUAUAGAAACAAAUAUACACGUUCGAUGACCCUUCGACAAAAGUCGUUACCUUGAGAAAGAAAAAAAUGUUCGGAAGUAUUAUAGAUUUUGGAAAAUUACAAGGUCAGCAGACAACGCAGACUACUCUAUGUAUAUAUACAUAUACACACUUUUUUUUUCUUGCUUUUUUAACAAAAUUUGAAACAGUUAAAGUAGUUUGUUUACCGGAGGCUAACUCAACUUCGUUGAAGCAAUAUCGGCAAGGUUGCGCCUGAGUAAGUCAUAAACUUUGACGUAACUUGUAACAGCUCGCUUCAGUCUCCGUUUAGUUGUCCCUGAGCUGCGUACGAGCUGAGUCGAGUACCUCGAGGAAAUAUCGAUUUACCUUUGUCCUUCGUCAUCAAUACAUUCAAUUUUACUUUUCUUAUCGUAACGAUCGAUCGAAAGGAAAAGAGAGAAGGAGAGAGCUAGAGAUCGAGAGAACGAGAGAUCGAGAGAACGAGAGAUCGAGAGAACGAGAGAUCGAGAGAACGAGAGAGAGAGAGAGAGAGAGAGAGAGAGAGAGAGAGAAAGAACAAGAGAAUUUUCGUGCGAGUAAUGUCGAACGAUAAAUUUCAAGAAGGAAGAAACUCGGAAACUCGAAUGUUUCUCUGGUAACAUGACAAGUAAAUGUAUCUUUGUAUUCGUAGAACAUCAUUAAUUAAAAUCGGCAAUUCGAAACCUCUACUAAUUAACGCAACUCGAGUAUCGCAUGCCAACAGUAAAGGGAAAAGGUAAGAAAGGUUUUAAUAUUCAUUAGUACAUACAAAGCUUCUUCCGUGCGUGUAAUUACGUCGUCCUCGCGAUGGAAGAGCGUUCUUUGGCUGACGUAAAAUCGAUUUACGUCGCUCAAUAUGUCCCAUUGAUCUUCAUCCUCGUACUCUCUCUCUCUCUCUCUCUCUCUCUCUUUCUCUCUUUCUCUCUCUCUCUCUCUCUCUCUCUCUCUCUAUCUAUCUCAUCUGUUCGAUGUAUCGUAAUUAAUAUAUUCGAUACGUACUUGAAGAAAUAUGUGUCGUUAACAUAUCCAAAGAAAGGAACGGUAUAAGUCAACAUCCAAAUGUUGCCACCACCACAAUCGUAGUAAGGCUUUGACCAUCUGCCAUCCUCAUACUUCACAAUCAAAGGUUAAGCGAAAUUUCAUCGACAUCAAGAAAGCUAUGUGCCAAUUCAGCGGAAAUGUACGGGUAGGAACCAUGAGCUCAUGACCCAAGAAGACCUGAUUCAUGCGUCUAAGAAGAUAAAGGAAAAGAAUGACUUCUCUAUCGUCGACAGCUCGCCAUUCACUCACGAGAACGAGUAAUUAUCAUCAUCCGGAAAAAUGUAUAGUCGGGUAAUACAUCAACUACGGUAAGAAGUUAUAUCGAAUGGUUGUUCAAUCAAGAAAAUUUAAAUCUACUUAAUGGACGUCUAGCGAGCUUGUAACGGAGACCGACGACGAGAGUUGCACUAGACACGCGAACUCGAGAUCUUUGAGCACGAUAAGUUAGUCGUCGAAUAAAAGCAUCGAAACUACAACGAACGACGGCGAUUUGCAUUUCCCGCCCUUUUUCACGAACGAUCGUGAUGUUUUCCAUGACAAAUCUUCCGGCAUCUUAUAAACGAUUCAGAUUGUUUCGUAUGAAAAUCGAGAG